CCAUGUUCUCUUUCUCUUCGUCUCUCCUCGUAUCUGCCUUACUCCGACGCGGUCUCUUCCUGUUUCUCUCCAGGACCCUUUUUUCUUUUUCCCAUAUUUGUCCCCCGUGCACACACACACGCACACACACACACACACAUUCAUACUCACGCAUACGCAUCCUACGGUUCCUCCGAGCGGUGCCGCAGCUGCGGCAGAGUGCGGCUGCGAGGAGACGUAGUCAGCGUGGAAGCCGACGUCCACGACGAGCCCUCGACAGGGACGAGGCCGAAGGGACGCGCCUCCCCGGUAGACCGCUACGGCCAGUAGUCACGGCCACUACUCGGCGCGUGGUCAUACGUGACGCGGUCACCGCGCGCCGCAGUAGAAAUGUCACGCGACGGUAGAAACGUCGCUGGAUACGGCCGCUGAGCAUACGGCGCAAGGAGAGACGGUACCGUCGAGUCAGACGUGCCGCAAGGGAGGACAGUAGCGUGUGGUCGGACGCCAAUAGACACGCCAUCACGAACAGGCCCAGGCCGUUUACCGCCGUAGACUGUGCGCUUUACGAAACGACGCGUGUGUCUCGAACAAAGAUCGCGAUUACUUUCGGCCGAAAUAUUCGUAAUUGUCUUGUCGGCGCGCCUCAAGAACAGCAUCCGUUUGUUUACGCGCAACUGAUAACGUCGCGGCUCUCCAGAGAGACGCGCGAGAACGACGUAGAACUGACGUAAGCGGAAAACGUGAAACAAUCGAAGAUUGCCGUGUUCCGGCGGGUUUUGAGGCGUCCCUUAAAGGGGCGCGAUCGUUACGAGCCGCGUUCGCUUCGAUCGUUCGAUAACGAACGUUAUCUCGGAAUUGUCGGCGAGAGGCGCGUCUUUUCGUGGAUGCGGUCAGUGGCGAAUUGACAGGAAUAGCACGGACUCGCGGCGUGAAGACUAGUUGGGCACGGGGACCGAAGCCUGUCCAUUGUCGGUCUAAUAAUAGCAGCGUGUCGAAGAGAUAUCGGCUGGCCUUCGAGGGCACGUCGACUUUAAGACACGCGGAUGCUCGCACGAUGUCCGACGGAUGCCGACGAGAUGCGCCUCCUCCGUCUCUCCUCGCAAUAAAAUCUCGAAUCACGCAAUCUGAACUGCGAGCGCGUCGAACCGCUUCCUCCAAGCGUGACGCCCACGCGUUUCGUUGCAAGCAGCUCGAGUCAAGGUUAAAAAGCGUCGCAAACUAUUUCCGACGCUCAAAGAGCCUGCGCUCGUUGGAUAUUGGCCCUACGAUCGGAAGUUCGAAACCGUGUCGAAGUUAACAGCGACGGAAGUUCUUGUUCAAACUCUAUCUCGGGCUUUGUAUCUGUGCGCAGGAACCUAUCGGAGCUCGCGAUGCCUAUUGUUCGCAGUCGGAAACGUCCUCAAAAUACUUUCUCUCAGUCCUUGGUCCUCGCAUUCAGAGGGAAUGCGCUUCUCUUUCGACAGUCAGUGCUGGAUUUGCGAGACGAAGCCGGACAGAAUGACAAGCAGUGAUAUCUUCCGUUGAAUUUCAUCGAUAGGAUCAUCCGCCUAACCGAACUCGAUGAAUCGUGACCGCAUAGCAUUCCGAGCGUAAACAAAAUUACUCAUCCGGCUGUGCUCGCCUCGUCACCGUCCGCUUUUACACCCGAGCAGGCGCCCCUGAAUUAUUAAUCUCAAACGGCUUGCUUUACUGCGAGUCUAAUUUGAAAACUCAACUUCGUUAGCAGCCCGAAGUUUUCUUGUUAGAGCAAAAAUUAAGAGAGCCGAGAUAAAUCCUUCAAUUCAACUUUGACCGUCGCGUUUCUUCGAUAUUCAACGCGGACUGCGCCAAGGCUGCUCUCGGCUGAGAGGCGUUAAAAAUUCAUUAUUGUUUUCGAUCGUUCCCUCGUUACUUAUUGAGGAAUCCCUCGGGAGAUAUAUAUCCCCGAUUUUAUUUUUACACAAGCGGGCUCUCAGUUGCAAGUAAAAUAAUCGCCUUGCUCUUGACAUCGUUCCGCGCGAUAUCGCGUUGCAAUAUUUUCCGAAAGGCAGAGGUUACUCGCGAGAGAUGACCCGACGCCGUAUCCUGAGACUCGAAGGUGAUGGACGAGCGUUGGAAUUAGCGCAACGUCCUAAGACCGCGUCUAACUUUAGAUCGCUUAUUUUUGCGCGCUCCUAUCGCCCGCGGUAUAACGUCGUGUCAUCCAAAUAGAAAUCCCGUCCGAUCUCUCCGCGGGCAAGUCGGGCCUUGAGGUGCCGUUCAUACCGUCUCGCCCCUCGCCGGUCGCCACCGAGCGGGACGACUCGACUACGGGACGAUAUCAGACUCGAUUAUCGUCGGGACACGAGGCAAGAAAAUCGAAACUGGAUAAAAGUGAAACGGUAAAAGCGGACUGACGACGGGCUAAAAGUUGAAUGGAACUUAAAAUACGGUACUCGAUAUCGAGCCCGUUACCUAUCGACAUUUACCCGCGUAUGCAUAUUCCGCUGCGGAAUAUUGCAUGAGAAUUCGCUGUAUAUGAGCCUUUUCGCUUGAGAGUUUGUCAGUUUGGCGUAUCGAAUAUCUAGAAUAUUAACGUCGCGCCAGCCGACUUCCGUUAAUUCGCGAGUUCGGCCCGGUCCCGAUCGUUAGCGUAAUUGAAGUUCCUGCACCGCGGGAUUCGCCAAUCCCUUUUGGGCAACGUGUUCGAGAUUCGAAUCGGCCGAUUACAGCAAGACACGCUGAUCGUUGCCACGAGUACGUGCGAAUUUCGACACUGAACGCCGCGAGAACUGCGCUACGGCAGAAAAAAAAGUGAUCUUAUGAGAAGACUCGCUCCGGAUAUAGGCCGGCAGAUAUUCCGUCGUCGCCCCUCCUUCGUCUAUCUAUCUCUCUCUCUCUCUCUCUCUCUCUCUCUCUUCCCUUUCUGCUCGCACACAACUCACGCAUAUCCGCGCACACAUAAUACCCGCAGUAGUCGCGAUUCGCCGUCGUCGACGAAAAUAUCAUCGACCGAGCGAACGAGGCGAACGAAGCAGAGUGCGGCAGAACCGUCCAACGAAAACUGGGAACCGUCUAAUAUCUCGUCUCCCGUGACUCGCCAAGGCGACUUUUCCAUUUGUCGCCUCGGUCCACCCGCUGGUCUCUCCAAGAACGACGAUAGCCAUCAAGUAGACGCGGAGAAAUAUCGUCGCGCAAAGUUCCUACGCGAUGACCAACGACCUUGCUGUUAUCGACAUUCUUUGCUACCCUAUCGAACUAUGAAUCCAAGGAGAGGCCGAUCUUACCCGAUACCGUGGAGUGAAGUAUGCACGAGGCCCAGGUGUGCCCUGGCGUAAAACCGUCGCGCGUCGUUGCAUAAUUUUUCUAAAAAUACGCGAAAACGGGACGUCCGCGAGAGAAUUGCGCGAGCGUCUGAAAUAUUCGCGUCGCGACGACGACACUCGGCGCCGGCGUCGCGUAAUCGCGAAAUGGUGCAGUGCUACGUUCAACGAUUCGGCGACGAUACGACGAUCGACUGUGAAUGGUGGAUAUUGCCUGGUUGUAAAUAGUGUCGCGGGAGUUUCGCGCGGAAGAAGAGGAGCCGCGAAGCUUCGUAUACAUGGUGUGUAGUGCCCGUCCCGAGUGAGAAACUCUCUCUCUCUCUCUCUCGCUCUUUCUCUCUCUCUUUCUCCGCGUCGGAAACCGAUUCAGGGCAGAGUCCAGGGCGGUCCUCGGCGAGUCCCCCGGGGGGAAUCGGCAUCAAGGUAUGAGCUCGAGAUGAAUGGCCUCGCUCGCGAGGCGUAUCGCAUUGCCAUAUUUGACGUUGGUCGAGCGGAGACGUUUUAUCGAGACCCUCGACUCUCCUCCCGUUCACGGGGAUCGCGCAGAAUCCUCUCCUCCUCGCGCCUCACCCUCUGUUCUCGGCUCCGCUCCGUUCGCCGACGAUUUCGUUUUCCGCGAGGUGCACGGUACCUGCCGUAGAAGUCGGCCCUCGGGAAUUCGUUGCUCCCGAUGAAACGCGGCGACGGCCACGGACGAGCGGACCAGCGACAAGAGUUCGUGCAUGGUCGCGAGAUAUAUUUAAACGCACACGUCUCGUGUUACUCGCGCAUCAUGCCGGGCCUAGAAUAGUUAUUCGCACGCGCGCGCACGCGUCAUUCCCUCGAUUCCUCCUCGACGCAAUAACGGCGCGAUCGUCGGCGCUAGGAAUCCAUUCCGUCGCGGACGAGAUGGUCCCCUCUCUCUCUCUUUCCCGAGCACGAACGUCUCCAUCUUGGAUAUUCGGGAAAAAGUCGAGAGAGAUUUUCGCGAAAUUCCAAAGACUGAUUCCUCACGCGAGAUUCUGCCGAGCUCGCUUGACCUGGUAUCGGGCGGAUUCCAGAAAUGGCCGCACUCGGCAGGACGGAAGACGUAGAACGACGGUGAGGAUGGGCUCGGUGGCUCGAGUCGGGGUCCAUUGUUGCCGUCUUAAUGUCCCUCUUCCUGCCAAUAACCUCCCCUCGUUCUGUCGCCGCGCACAAUGACACCCUUAAUGGCCGCCCGGAAGGCACCGGCGCGGCUUAAAGACACGAUCCUGGCCUCUGCUUUCCGCGACGAAUGUGUACGAUAAUGCCAUUGUCUCUGUCGAUCGGUUUCGAGUAGCAUCGGCUCUUUAACUCGUCGUCAUUGAUACCUGUGCAACUUCCCGAGGUGUCGGUUUCCUUCGGAUCUCAUUCUUCGCCUCGACCACCGACGUACGGUUUCGCCCGGCCCCAAGAAAUUGCGAACAACAAAAAUAUAACGAAACGAUACUUCUUCAAGUGCGGUCGUUCGAUACGCUCCUUCCCUCUUCGAUCGACCGCCGGGCCCGCCUGUCGAUCCCAAACGCCGACGGUCUGCCGCGAUGUCGGGUAAAGUCCGAAAGUAAAGGUCAGCAAUUAGCCACAAUGUAACGCGGCGCGCCGCGCUAUCGGCUAUUACGGAUCGGGAGGCACAAAAUGUCACGAGCAGAAUCAGAGGCGCCGACGAUUCUGCGUUCGACAUUCACGGACGGACGGGCACGUAGAGCGCACAGAGCGAGGGAGCGAGGGUAAACGCGAGGUCGCGCCGGAUUCCGCGACUCGCUUGAGGAAGCUACGCGAGCCGACGCGAACCAGCAAGAGAGAAGAUGGACGCAAGCGAGCCCCAUGUAAUGUUAAGCUUAGCUGGUUGAACACGGGUCAAAUAUAUCGCCAAUUGACGCAUUUGGUCCCCUUCAACCAGCUGUAGUUGACAUUAGACAUCAGCCCCGAGAGAUCGCCGACACGACGUACGAUCGCCGCCCGCGGUUCAUCCAGUUUAGUGAGUUCGUGACAGUGAGAGCGAAGUGACAGUUUUCCAACCGUCCAGACAACCUGGACAAUAGCUCACUAGUAAAAAAAAAAGAAAGAAAAACCAAACGCAGACACUUUUGAAAAGACCAAAGCGGCGUUAUGUAAGCUGAACUGUGUGCGAUUUUUACGUAUAUUCUAGUAGCACGUGGAAGCGUACUUGGUUCACACGUGGCAUGGGAACAAGAUCCGUAAGUUGAUCGUAAACGCUCGUCAUUGGCGUACGUAGGCAGGCAAUAAAAUGGCUGUGUUAGCGUGCGCUCGUGUAUGCGGCGAGAUUGAGAUUAUUGGCAGACGCCGAGCACUUGUGGACAGGCAGGGAUAUCAGAUCGGCGACGUUUCGACAAAAGGGCACUUUUCAUGCGGAAUGUAACGUAAGGAAUAUCAGUGGAAUUCUAAAAUAUUGGUCCAUUGAGUUCCACUCCGAGACUUCGACUGUACUCGCUUUUAUCGUUUCUCUAAGAUGGACAAGUGUUGUUAACUUCGAACUCUUUGUCGAGCGCCGAGCGUCGAGCGAGUGAGAGGAUGAAGGGGAGGAAGAAAGUCGCAUAUGAGACAUCUGCGAUGUCAGUGAAACAGCAAAGUAAUUGUAAGAAGCGUUGUGUGUCUGUGUGUUUGUGUAUGUAAAUUAAGACUUAUAUAUAUUUAAGCCGCUCUCUCUUGGGGGACUCUGAAUUUGUCGGGAUUGACAAAUGAAACGAAUCUAUCGUAUUAUCCGACGUUUCAUUUCAACUACAGCGACAACUUGGUUCGUGUCCGCGCUUUACCGCCAUCGACAGGAUUCGUCGGAACGAUACUUUCCCGUGAGCUUUAAAAGCUCCCUGAGUCACGGCGUUUGUUCAAAAUUUACUGCAGCGGCGUAGUGUUCCGCGCGAUAACUGCCGCCUAUAUAAAAGUUAAGUCUACGAAUAACGGCUAGUAUAUAAACGAUCUUACGACUCUCUGGGCACUUAUAUCCGACAGAAUCGCCUCACUAAAUCCGGAUUUCGUCAUUAAAUCCCCUUUUGUGGCCGGUUCUCUCGGUACUGGAAACUACAACGGGCUCGCCCCGGCGAACAGUCUCGCAGUGUGCACUCGUUGCAGCAAAUUGCUAUUGCGACAUGUGAUAUAUGCCGCGCAAACACAGUAAAUCGACAAAUCCGAAAGUAAGUUAAAAGUGCAAAAAUUAACGGGGUAAAGAGAGACGGAGAUAACAAAAACCUGUUAUAUUUCACGACGAAAUUGUUUCGAAUGCAGAGAAAUAUGUAAGAUAAAAAAUGCUAAUUGUAAAGAAUAAGAAAUCGACUAGGCCACGUGCGCUGGAUAAGUGGAAUUCGUUGCAUACAUCUCGAGUAGUAAUGGAGAUAAAUAAUAGUACCACAAUCGUAACAGAAUCGUAGAAAUAUAAUAUACAAUAGGUAGUGAAUAUAACUUUGUUAAAAUAUGUGUGUCUUAUGUUCCGCGUAAUUUAUAAAAAAAUAUAAAAGUCCAACACACACGUAUACAUUUUUAAAAGAUACUUCGAUAAAGAUACAUUAGCUCGAUGUGUUCGACGAGUAAUUUCGUACGUAAAAAACAUGUGAGAUACGAAAAACAUUCUUUGUACAGGACAGUCCGAUUAAUCAUUCAUUAUCGCGCGUUGUCAGGCGUCUUAGAUCAAUUUCGAAUAUGAGAAUAAACUAACGAAAGAUAAUUUUGAAAUUGAAAUAGAAUUACGGUAGAAGAGAGAACGAAGGAGAUAUUAAAAAGAUAAAACGCGGAACGGCGUAGCGAGUGCAGCAAAAAAAAGAAACAAUACGCAUCGUCGUUGGUCGGAGACAAGUGCAAUUAUUUUUUAAUUAUUCCUCGCAACAACAAUUACGCUUCUAAUUAUUCCGACGUUUAUUAGACUUAAUUGUAUAAAUUUGCGGCACUUCAGGCGUCGAAUGCAGACCUUUCGCCGUGUUAUUGUCGCCGGUUUCGCGCACGGUUGUCGAAUACCUUUUUUAGUAAUUCUGUUAUACAAAGAGGAAAGGACAUUAACGAUGCCUCUCGCGCAUAAUGAUUCCCGUGUAUCCACUGCCGCUUUAUAAGUGAUAUAUAAACUUCACAGAGGUUUUUAAUAACAGGAGAAAACAGAACUAAUUUCACGAUUUGCGAUAUAUUCAGCUUUCGCGAAUAACAGCUCUGAAUUAGUUAUACUCGGAUCGAGAAACAAUUGAAAGUUGGUAUUGAAAGUUCAAUAAUGCAAAACAGCAUUAUUGAACGGCUCUCCUGCGUUCGAAAAAUUUCCUUUCUAUUUUUUUUCCUUCACGAAGUGGCGUCUCGCCGCCAAGAUACGGUAAUUGAAGAAUUUAAGUGGCGUCCUCCGAGACACAGAGGGACGAAAGAGGGCAAGUGCCAAUAUUCUAAUCCGUCUACGGCGAUGAUAGCGGCGAUAACGACGAUGUCAGUGGCAGCCGGCUGGUUACACAGACUCGACCUAAAUAUCUGUUUUAAUUAAAUUCCACCCUGAUAUACAUUUCAUUAGCGCGACGGGCUAAUAAAGGUUAAUUAUUGAUGCGCGUACGUGUACUUUUAUCGAAAAAAAAAAAAUGUCGGGCAGCCGAGAUUCAGUUUCCGGAUAAAAUCGCGGACGAUCGCUCACUACUCCGAUCUGAUACUCAUCGACGAAAGCGAUAACGCAUUUACUGUAGUUCGAUAAUCCUAACGCGCCGGGAGAUAUCGCCGAUGGAAUGGUGAGUGAUAGCGAAGCGAUUAAUCUCUCUUUCCAUUUUCCUUCUCGCGGAAUAUUUGCUAAUGCGGUGUAAUCGCGCUUAAUGGCUUUUAUGCAGAUAAAGUUGGCAGAUAUUUUAAAUUCGGAUGUAGUUCCAACUUUAUAUUUCAAUAUUAAAAAUAAUUAGAAAGGCGCGCGAUUUAUAAACAGAGAAGUGAGGUUCGUGCACGUCGAACGACACGGAACAGCGAGUGGACGCGCGGGGCAGAAUCGUCCGAUGCGUGUCGUCCCUUUGAAUUGGAUCGCUAUCAAUCCGCGGAAGUAAUUUCAGGAUACAAAUAAAUUCAAUUACGUAACAAGUUCUGUAAUGAGGACGUAAGAACGGGCGAUUUAAACAACAGUCCGAUUUCAAGAGACUCUUGAAGAAGGUAAACCCAGUACAACGUGUAUCAACGAACUUAGGAAACUUUGAAGCGUAACGGAAAAUUACUUGUCUCUCAACAACGUUCAAGAACGCGGAAGAUACGCGAAGAUGGGGGGGAAAGAUGAAAACGUGAAAGACCGUGCAAGGUCUCUCAGCUGCGCGCUUAUUCGGCCGGCCCACACACAUUCCCGAUGACCAAUUUAAAUUCUUCCUCGUUAACCACUCACAAGCACGGUCUCUCUCUCUCUCUUUCUCUCUCUCUCUCUCUCCCUCGCGUUCAAAACGAGCCCAAAGCCGCGAGAGCAAAGUUGGAUUAACGCGUCAAAAGGAUUCAUCUGCGUCCGCAGCCACCGCGCGAGGCAGUGGCGAAGAAAAAAGAGGGGAAGACGGGGGGACGGCGCUGAGCUCUCGGGCGCAAAUUAGUUUGAGUGCAUUUCACGAGACCGCAAAGUAGGGGCCUCUAAGUAAUGUAAUCUCGUCCGCGGUGAUGUCGCCCGCCGUGUCGGUGGCGAAGGCGAAGCCGGCGCGAUGGUAGAUGGGGGGUGAUAUAGGUACCGCCGUCGGCGUUGUCCCAGUUUUCUUGCGGCUACCGGAAUUAGAAGAGCCCUUGUCGCGUACGCAUUAUGAGAGUUGCACGGGACACACCUCCCGAUCCUGCUGCAAAACGCGCCUCUCUUCCUCUCGGGUUUCGCCGGGGCCUCAGUUUCAACCCGUCCGCGCGCGAACGUUGAUUUCUUCGCGCCCGCCUUCGAACUUAGGAACUCGUAAUUAAGUCGCUUUAGCAAAAUCCCUGUGCGUCAGCGUUUUGAAAAACUUAGAAAACAUCAGAGUAUUUCGAGAUCAAAGGAAUCUUAUUGCGUAAAAUAUUAGCCAGGGUUCGAACCUGGGAAAAAGGAUUUGGACACUAACAUCCCAUCACGGCUCUUUAGUCCUCUACUCCAUCGAACUUGCGUUCGUCGCAUGAGAGCCUUGCGAAUUUUAUUGUUUAUAUUAUUUGUUUGAAAUAGAAUACCAGUACCAGACGAACCGUAGAUCGUGCUGCGUGGAUUACUAAAAAGCACACGACGAUCAAUGUAUUGAAAUGUGAUCAUUAAUAGCAUUAUACUACCGACGGUGUAUUGCAAGUUGUAUUAUACGACAAAUUAGUUACUUCUAGUCCAAAUAAUACGCGCGUACGAGCGCAAAAUUAUGCAUAUCGAUACGGGUUACUGGCACAGUAACUGGAGGCACCAUUAAUUAUCAAAUUACGAUAUACUGUGACCAACCGACCAAUGUGACAUUCUCUCCGGUUAGAACAAUUUCUCUAUCGUUCGACGGAGCUCGCGGCUCGAUCACGUUAUUCGAUUAUGUUUAGUUGUGGAAUAAUUCAUUAUUUCAUUCUGAAAACUCGAAUCGCUUCGAAUUACUAAAUUAUUCCAAGCUGUAUUUCAAGUUCAACAUACCAAAUUAUUUAAGAAACGUACGAGCCAAUUUAGGAAUUUCGAAGCGCAUGUUAAAUGGUUCUUUGAUCAUUUGGAGUUUUAACAAAACUUUCUAUACCCGAUCUCGAUUGGCCUCUAAUCAUUGCACGAAUCGAGACAAUGCUACUCUAAGCUAUGGUGUUUAGAAUACGAAAGGGAGAGACGUUAAUUACGUUCGCUAAUUGGACGCGUCAUGUGGAAUACCUAAUGAGGAAAGAUCAGCUUGAUGAAGCUACCGAGACAUAAUUAGCUUUGAUGAUCAAUUUUUUUUCAUCUGUAAUCAAUUAAAAAAUUAUAAUUAAUAAACUCAACAAGAUUUUCAACAGCACUCGACUCGUUAUCUCUCAGCAUCCGUUACGGUAGACGCGCCUUUUUCCAUUUGUACAAUUACAUGCAAACAAACAAUUUCAAGGGGACUUGUAUCUUUCGAAUAACAAUUUAAUUUAGAAUCCGCCGUGACUUCUCAAGUGGUACGAUGAAUAACAAGUCUUAUUACAACCGGACGUAACAAUACCGUUUCCCUCAAACAAUUAGAAUUAAAGACUAGAACUAUUUAACAGAUUAAAAACUCUGUGUCUCGCGGGGAUGAAAUUCUGAAUCAAGUUGGGAAAAUGUUUCGCCGGUAAAUAGCGCCGACAUACUUAGACGACGCAAGGCACGAUUGUUAGUUUAGGAAAUAACCCGAUAAUGGGACAAAUCAAAUGCAGACAAUUUAUGCUUGGUCGAUAAAUGCCCUAGGUGUUCGCAGCUGCAGCUGAUCACUAUGUCAAUACGAACAAGGACGUUGUUAUUACAGUAGAUCGCGCCAUCAGGCAGCACGAGUAGGCUCUGUUACUCGGGGUGCGCGAUGAUUCGAAAUACUCUCAACGUUCAACAUCCUGGGAUUGAUCGCCGGAGCGAUUACGGUCGCCUAGUAAUGCCGCGAGUGUUUCGAAAAAGUGCGAUUCAUCUCGGAUCGAUGCUGAAUUACAGCGGUAAACCUCGCCGCGGGGGCGGGGCGCGAGAUUUCUCGAGGAGAAUGAAUGGCAGACGGAGAACGAGAGCAGCCCUUCCCCCCUACCUACCGUGGGGAGAACAGAAAUCAGUGGUCACCGGAUAACUUCCGAGUCGGCCGGCGCUCGAGAUCGAUCGACUUCGUUCCGCCUCAAGGGGUUAGGCAAAGGUUAUUGGACAUCCCGUACGUGCACAGCGGCGGAGGAAGCAUACCGACGCGGGGGCACUCGGGUAGCUGCUGCUGCGUGAGAUACAAGGGGUUGUAUAUCAAGGAGCCACGCCUAACACGAGAACCACUUCCGGUCUAGACACGCGAGCUCUGCUUGCCUGCCUGCCAGCCAGCCAGCCAGCCUGCCUGCCUGCCAGCCGAGCCCCAGCCUUGAGCGUGGGAUCGGUUCCCUAAAUACGACGGCAUUUACAACCUCCACCUACCGCCCACCUACCACCCGGCUGCCACCCCGUCAACCCGUCCCAUCGUCGCGUCGAAGCUGUUCUGAAUCAGAUUCUCCGACCGCGGCUGAAAUUCAAUCCGAGACGAUACGUUUUGCGCGGCAGUUUGUCGGGAUUGAAAACUUCGACCUGCCCUACAUCGUGUACGAAACGUGCCCCGAAAAGGCCACACAGUUA